UAUAACAUAUCGUUAAUGCAUCAGAUUCCAUUAGAACUAUGCAGUUAAGCAAGCUCAUGCUAGAGUAGUACUAGGAUGGGUGGCCGCCUAGGAAUUCCUAGUGUUUUAC
rfam:Picea glauca, whole genome shotgun sequence.